AUAUUUGUAAAAAGGAGAGAUGGUUGCCAUCUCCGUCGACAAGGAUGGGAACAAUCCUCGGGCUUUACCUGUUACCAGAUACAUCCGCUUAAGGCCACCCACUUUAGUGGACCUUACCUAUUUUUAUU